rnacentral:rRNA from 1 species
AAACUAACAAGGAUUCCCCUAGUAACGGCGAGUGAAGAGGGAAGAGCCCAAGAUUGAAAGCUGGCGUCUUCGGCGUCCGCAUUGUAAUCUCAAGAAGUGUUUUCCGUUUCGGACCAUGCCUAAGUCUCUUGGAAAAGAGCAUCAUAGAGGGUGAUAAUCCCGUACAUGGCAUGGAGCGCCCGAGACUUUGUGAUACGCUUUCUAAGAGUCGAGUUGUUUGGGAAUGCAGCUCAAAAUGGGUGGUAAAUGCCAUCUAAGGCUAAAUAUUGGGGAGAGACCGAUAGCGAACAAGUACAGUGAUGGAAAGAUGAAAAGAACUUUGAAAAGAGAGUUAAACAGUACGUGAAAUUGCCAAAAGGGAAGGGUAGGAGGUCAGAGAUGCGUUCUGGGAUUCAGCCUUGCUUUUGCUUGGUGUUUUUCCCAGAUGGCAGGCCAACGUCGGUUUUGGGCGCUGGAGAAGGGUGGAAGGAAUGUGGCACCUCUCGGGGUGUGUUAUAGCCUUCUACUGGAUACAGUGACCGAGACCGAGGACAGCAGCGUACUCGCAAGAGCGGGCCUUC